UAGAUGGAUGCCCGCUGGUUUAGGCGCCUAGCUGUUAACUAGGAUCUUGAGGGAUCGAGGCCCUCCUAUCUAU
rnacentral:tRNA from 1 species